rnacentral:rRNA from 1 species
UACAGGGGGUGCAAACGUUGCUCGGAAUUAUUGGCGUAAGCGCACGUAGGCGGUUCGUUAAGUCGGAUGUGAAGCCCUCGGCUCAACCUGAGGAAGUGCACCCGAAACUGGCGAGCCUUAGAGUACGAAAGAGGAUCGCGGAAUUCCCGGUGUAGAGGUGAAAUUCGUAGAUAUCGGGAGGAACACCGGCGGCGAAGGCGGUUCUCUGGGCAUGUCCUGACGCUGAGGAGCGAAAGUGUGGGGAGCGAACAGGA